GGGGCCAUAGCUCAGCUGGGAGAGCACCUGCCUUGCAAGCAGGGGGUCAGCGGUUCGAUCCCGCUUGGCUCCACCA
rnacentral:tRNA from 1 species